GAUGAACGCUGGCGGCGUGCCUAAUACAUGCAAGUCGAGCGAACGGACGAGAAGCUUGCUUCUCUGAUGUUAGCGGCGGACGGGUGAGUAACACGUGGAUAACCUACCUAUAAGACUGGGAUAACUUCGGGAAACCGGAGCUAAUACCGGAUAAUAUUUUGAACCGCAUGGUUCAAAAGUGAAAGACGGUCUUGCUGUCACUUAUAGAUGGUUCCGCGCUGCAUUAGCUAGUUGGUAAGGUAACGGCUUACCAAGGCAACGAUGCAUAGCCGACCUGAGAGGGUGAUCGGCCACACGGGAACUGAGACACGGUCCAGACUCCUACGGGAGGCAGCAGUAGGGAAUCUUCCGCAAUGGGCGAAAGCCUGACGGAGCAACGCCGCGUGAGUGAUGAAGGUCUUCGGAUCGUAAAACUCUGUUAUUAGGGAAGAACAUAUGUGUAAGUAACUGUGCACAUCUUGACGGUACCUAAUCAGAAAGCCACGGCUAACUACGUG
rnacentral:rRNA from 1 species